rnacentral:rRNA from 1 species
AUUGAACGCUGGCGGCAGGCUUAACACAUGCAAGUCGAGCGAGCGGCGGACGGGUGAGUAAUGUCUGGGAAACUGCCUGAUGGAGGGGGAUAAAUACUGGAAACGGUAGCUAAUAACGCAUACCAUCAGAUGUGCCCAGAGGGGAUGAGCUAGUAGGUGGGGUAAUGGCUAACCUAGGCGGCGAUCCCUCGCUGGUCUGAGAGGAGGACCGCCCAAUCGGGACCUGAACCCCGGCCCAGACCCCUACGGGAGGCAGCAGUGGGGAAUAUUGCACAAUGGGGGCAAGCCUGAUGCAGCAAUGCCGCGUGUGUGAAGAAGGCCUUCGGGUUGUAAAGCACUUUCAUCGAGGAGGCGUUACUCGCAGAAGAAGCACCGGCUAACUCCGUGCCAGCAGCCGCGGUAAUUC